GGCGGCGUGCCUAAUACAUGCAAGUCGAGCGGAUCGAUGGGAGCUUGCUCCCUGAGAUCAUAUGCAUCUGGCGGCGGACGGGUGAGUAACACGUGGGUAACCUGCCUGUAAGACUGGGAUAACUCCGGGAAACCGGGGCUAAUACCGGAUAAUUUAGUUCCUCGCAUGAGGAACUGUUGAAAGGUGGCUUCGGCUACCACUUACAGAUGGACCCGCGGCGCAUUAGCUAGUUGGUGAGGUAACGGCUCACCAAGGCAACGAUGCGUAGCCGACCUGAGAGGGUGAUCGGCCACACUGGGACUGAGACACGGCCCAGACUCCUACGGGAGGCAGCAGUAGGGAAUCUUCCGCAAUGGACGAAAGUCUGACGGAGCAACGCCGCGUGAGUGAAGAAGGUUUUCGGAUCGUAAAACUCUGUUGUUAGGGAAGAACAAGUGCCGUUCGAAUAGGGCGGCACCUUGACGGUACCUAACCAGAAAGCCACGGCUAACUACGUGCCAGCAGCCGCGGUAAUACGUAGGUGGCAAGCGUUGUCCGGAAUUAUUGGGCGUAAAGCGCGCGCAGGUGGUUUCUUAAGUCUGAUGUGAAAGCCCACGGCUCAACCGUGGAGGGUCAUUGGAAACUGGGGAACUUGAGUGCAGAAGAGGAAAGUGGAAUUCCAAGUGUAGCGGUGAAAUGCGUAGAUAUUUGGAGGAACACCAGUGGCGAAGGCGACUUUCUGGUCUGUAACUGACACUGAGGCGCGAAAGCGUGGGGAGCAAACAGGAUUAGAUACCCUGGUAGUCCACGCCGUAAACGAUGAGUGCUAAGUGUUAGAGGGUUUCCGCCCUUUAGUGCUGCAGCUAACGCAUUAAGCACUCCGCCUGGGGAGUACGGUCGCAAGACUGAAACUCAAAGGAAUUGACGGGGGCCCGCACAAGCGGUGGAGCAUGUGGCUUAAUUCGAAGCAACGCGAAGAACCUUACCAGGUCUUGACAUCCUCUGACAACCCUAGAGAUAGGGCUUUCCCCUUCGGGGGUCAGAGUGACAGGUGGUGCAUGGUUGUCGUCAGCUCGUGUCGUGAGAUGUUGGGUUAAGUCCCGCAACGAGCGCAACCCUUGAUCUUAGUUGCCAGCAUUCAGUUGGGCACUCUAAGAUGACUGCCGGUGACAAACCGGAGGAAGGUGGGGAUGACGUCAAAUCAUCAUGCCCCUUAUGACCUGGGCUACACACGUGCUACAAUGGACGGUACAAAGGGCAGCGAGACCGCGAGGUUUAGCCAAUCCCAUAAAACCGUUCUCAGUUCGGAUUGCAGGCUGCAACUCGCCUGCAUGAAGCUGGAAUCGCUAGUAAUCGCGGAUCAGCAUGCCGCGGUGAAUACACUGAUCAUAUAUAGGGUGAGU
rnacentral:rRNA from 1 species